UAAAUCAUUGAAUCUGAUUAGCAUUGAAUGUUCGCUCCAAGGUAAUAAAACUCGUUGAAACAAAGUCAACUUGAAGAAAAGAUGUGACAACUCAGAAAAAAAAAAAAAAAGCAUGUAGAGACACAGGACAAACCGAGUUGCACCCCAGAAACAUUUAUAUGUUCCGAGUGAGAUACUGCGCAACACAACAGUUCCACCCAGAGCAGAACAAGUUGUAGUGGUUUCGGCUCCUGAGCUUACAUGGAAAAAAAAAACACAUGUAGAGACACAGAACAAACCGAGUUGCACCCCAGAAACAUUUAUAUGUUCCGAGUGAGAUACUACGCAACACAACAGUUCCACCCACAGCAGAACAAGUUGUAGUGGUUUCGGCUCCUGAGCUUACAUGGUA